CAUACUGAUGAGCGAGUGUGCAUGCAAAGCCAAGACUCCACCCAUCCCUCACUCACUUGGCUCCAGGGAGGGAGCAAACAACUCUUCCAACCUUGGGAAAGCUGUGAUAUCUGGUGCCUAAAGGAAGGACGAACUACACAUAAUAGUCUUUUUAGUAAACCCCUCCUGUCAAACCAAGAGUUGCAAUGACGGACUCCAGAGAGGCCACGUCCAAUGCUGUUCAACUGGAAGACUGAGUCAACCCAAUACAUCCUUGUCCAGAUUUGCAAGCGGGCUUUGUGAUACUGGAGUUAUGAUCAGAUGGAAAAAGAUCUGGAAAGAAAAUGGAAAAAUGGAAAGGCACCCUUGAAGGUGGUGUUGGAAGUGAAGGCGAUGCAGCCCUGGGUAUCAUCUGAAGACCAUGGGAUCUAACCAUCUCCUGUAUAAGUUUCAUGAAUGGGAUGGGGGAUAAAACUGAGC